rnacentral:rRNA from 1 species
UCUCGGCUCUUGCAUCGAUGAAGAACGUAGUGAAAUGCGAUACUUGGUGUGAAUUGCAGAAUCUCGUGAACCAUUGAGUCUUUGAACGCAAGUUGUGCCCGAGGCCUUGUGGCCGAGGGCACGCCUGCUUGGGCGUCAUGGCAUCGUCACCUUUGCUCCUUGCUU